rnacentral:rRNA from 1 species
UGAUGCGGUCAUACCAAGGCUACUACACCAGAUCCCAUCAGAACUCUGAAGUUAAGCGCCUUUGGGCCGGAAUAGUACUGGGAUGGGUGA